ACCCAUAUAUUCCAACGGACAGGAUAUCUGCAGCCUGGCUUUCAACCAUAAGGUCUGAGUUCAACUCCCAGUAUGGGUU